rnacentral:rRNA from 1 species
CAGUCGCCGCGGUAAAACGGAGGGUGCAAGCGUUAAUCGGAAUUACUGGGCGUAAAGCGCACGCAGGCGGUCUGUCAAGUCAGAUGUGAAAUCCCCGGGCUUAACCUGGGAACUGCAUUUGAAACUGGCAGGCUAGAGUCUUGUAGAGGGGGGUAGAAUUCCAGGUGUAGCGGUGAAAUGCGUAGAGAUCUGGAGGAAUACCGGUGGCGAAGGCGGCCCCCUGGACAAAGACUGACGCUCAGGUGCGAAAGCGUGGGGAGCAAACAGGAUUAGAUACCCCUGUAGUCCCUGUCUCUUAUAA